rnacentral:rRNA from 1 species
AACGAACGCUGGCGGCGUGGAUAAGACAUGCAAGUCGAACGGGACUAAAUCUGUAGCAAUACAGGUUUAGUUUAGUGGCGAACGGGUGCGUAACACGUGGGCAAUCUGCCGAGAAGUGGGGGAUAGCUCGCCGAGAGGCGAAUUAAUACCGCAUAUGAUCAGUGAAGACAUCUUCACGACAUCAAAGCCGGGGCAACCUGGCGCUUCUUGAUGAGCCCGCGGCCUAUCAGCUAGUUGGUGAGGUAACGGCUCACCAAGGCUAUGACGGGUAGCUGGUCUGAGAGGACGACCAGUCACACUGGAACUGAGACACGGUCCAGACACCUACGGGUGGCAGCAGUCGAGAAUUUUUCUCAAUGGGGCAACCCUGAAGGAGCGACGCCGCGUGGAGGAUGAAGGUCUUUCGGGUUGUAACUCCUGUCAUUUGGGAACUAAGUUACACACGUUAACUGCGUGGGUNUUGAUAGUACCAGAAGAGGAAGAGACGGCUAACU